GUGCCAGCAGCCGCGGUAAUACGUAGGUCCCGAGCGUUGCGCGAAGUCACUGGGCGUAAAGCGUCCGCAGCCGGUCGGGUAAGCGGGAUGUCAAAGCCCACGGCUCAACCGUGGAAUGGCAUCCCGAACUGCCCGACUUGAGGCACGCCCGGGCAGGCGGAAUUCCCGGGGUAGCGGUGAAAUGCGUAGAUCUCGGGAGGAACACCGAAGGGGAAGCCAGCCUGCUGGGGCUGUCCUGACGGUCAGGGACGAAAGCCGGGGGAGCGAACCGGAUUAGAUACCCGGGUAGUCC
rnacentral:rRNA from 1 species